AUUGAACGCUGGCGGCAUGCCUUACACAUGCAAGUCGAACGGCAGCGGACCUUCGGGUGCCGGCGAGUGGCGAACGGGUGAGUAAUGCAUCGGAACGUACCUUUCAGUGGGGGAUAACGUAGCGAAAGUUACGCUAAUACCGCAUAUUCUGUGAGCAGGAAAGCAGGGGAUCGCAAGACCUUGCGCUGAUUGAGCGGCCGAUGUGAGAUUAGCUAGUUGGUGAGGUAAAGGCCCACCAAGGCGACGAUCUGUAGCUGGUCUGAGAGGAUGAUCCGCCACACUGGAACUGAGACACGGUCCAGACUCCUACGGGAGGCAGCAGUGGGGAAUUUUGGACAAUGGGGGCAACCCUGAUCCAGCCAUGCCGCGUGAGUGAAGAAGGCCUUCGGGUUGUAAAGCUCUUUCGGCCGGGAAGAAAUCGCACGGGCUAAUACCCUGUGUGGAUGACGGUACCGGAAUAAGAAGCACCGGCUAACUACGUGCCAGCCGCCGCCGUAAGAC
rnacentral:rRNA from 1 species